rnacentral:lncRNA from 1 species
UAAAAGUGAAAAGAAACAAAAAAAAAAAAAAACUAAAAAAAUGUAUAAAGCAGUGUUUUUUCUAAUUACUUUGAUUGGUCUCUUGUUUGCUGGAUCAUCAAACACAGCAUUAGCCCAAGUAGCCUAUGAAACACCAAAAACAGGUAAGCUUAUAUAUAUUGUCCAUUUUUUGAUUUUAUAACCUAAAUAAUAAUUUGAUCAUUAAUUAAUACAUUGUUGUUAAUAUGGAUAGAUACAGGAGAGGGGAGGUGGAAUGAAAAGCCGAUCAUCAGAGGGAUCAAAAGAGAAGUAAAAGGCAGCGUUUCAAGGCGUGCACCUGACCCACCUACUGGCGUAGGCUCUACCAAACCCUAAAGACGAUCAUAUUCAUAUAAUUAUCAAAGCUUCUUAUUAUUAUUAUUACUAUUAUUAUGCUGUGACAUCGAUAUAUAUAGACUAUAGAGAAUAGCUCAGCCGCCGAAUAAAACAACCUCGAGACCACCUUCAUCUGUGCAAGUGGUCUCUAUACUGAACAUUAUUAUUAUUUUAAUAUAAAUAGAAUAAUUAAUUAAUUUUAAACAAACAUAUUCACACAAAAAAAAUUAUUUUGUUUUAAUUCUCACGCAUAUACACAUCAUCAUCACAACCAAAAUCU